GUGUCUGUUUGGUUAGGCGUUUGCAACCAACAGACGCACGUUUUUAGCUCUAAACGUGAUUUUUCACUUUUUGAAUAUGUUUGGCUUUCUGUUUUCAAAUCGAUUCUGUGCUCCAAAAUCAAUUCUAGGAGAAGCUCCAAAUCCUAGCUUCUGGAAAUCGCGUCUCCACCACAUGUAUUACGUCACCGUUAAUUUGUCAAUUUUGCCUCUUUUGCCCUUUUGAAGUCCAUCGGUGAUGGAAGAGAAAAUAAGAGGCUGUUCACCCA
rnacentral:lncRNA from 1 species